UUUGUGACUCCAAACUGUGAUUUUGCAGUUAAUUUUUGUUCUUUUGUUUUUUUAGGAGCACUUUUAUGAUGCAGCAAGCAGCACUGGAUACAUUUCAUGGCGUCUUAAAACGGUCCUAAGGAAGAUUCAAAGAGGAUCUCUUGUGCCACUAAGUAGCACCAAUUACACUUCAUCUGGAGCCCCAAAUAUACAGAGAACUGUGAUUGCUGAAAAACAACUUGAUGGGAAUGCCUGUCAGGAGGCCAUAUCUCUGCUUAACCACACCAAAGACAGGUCUGUGAUCUUUCAGAAGAUGAGAGAGACUUUUGAGCACCAUCACAAGCUUAUUAAAGAACCCAGUGGAAAAAAAUGAUAUUCUGACAACGUUCCAGAGGUUCCUGGACACAAAAGGAUUGAUUGAUCAAGACUUCAGUCUUCUGUUCAGUGAAGAAACCUCAUCCAGACUGCUGCAGAAGUGGGAUGUGAUCUUCAAACCAAAUGUCAUCAAGGAGGCUAAGCGUUUAACUUCUACACCUGAGUUGAGAAGUUUGGUGCAGUCAGUGGAAAGUCUUCAAAGCGAUGACCUCUCUAACACAUCUAGCUAUGACCAAGAAAUGGCGUCGCUGUUACUUCUCUUACAUCUCCUUCAACCGCAACCAGGCGGACAGAAGUCUCCAAAAAUCAGUGCAAGUGAUGCAGUUGAGAGACUUGUUGUCUUUCAUAAGUCAUGCUGCAGUUUAGAGGAGCAUCUCCAGGGUCAACGGGGUCUGCAGCCAUUCCUCCUUGAUGUUGGGCAUCAGAACAUUUCACUUAAAGAUGAAGAUGUGGUCAACAAAGAAAUGCUUCAAAUGAUUUCAUCAGGAG